rnacentral:lncRNA from 1 species
CGGGGGGCUCCCAGGCCCCGUGGGGGGGGUCCCGGGCCCCCGGGGCCGGGGGGACUCACUGGUGUCGCUCCAGAGGAGGUGGCUGCUGAGGCUGCUGCUGCUGCCCAGCGUUUUGGAGCCGGAGGCGGAUUUCCAGGUGCCCGAGAGCCAGGGCGAGUCGCCGGCCUCCAGCCUGCGGGGACAAGGAGGUCUCGGGACGCCGCUCCCGCCGCCCCGGGGUGCCCCAGCCCGGCCCCCCCCCGUCUCUCCUUGCUCACCUCUGCCGGGCCACCGCGUCCUCGCCGGCGYGGCAGCACAGACCUGCGGAGACGGGCACGGGGGUGACUCCUGGGCGGCACGCGGCGGGUGCCGAGGGGGGUCCACGGUUGGUCCCCGCCGACCCUCCGGGCUCACCUUUGCCGCGGCGGCCGCCGGCGCGGCGCUGGCGCUGGCACAGGUGGACCAGGAAGGCCAGGAGGGUCACCCAGAGCAGGGCGCCGGCGCCGGCGACGAGGGCGGCCAAGGGCAUCGCCUCGGGGCCCCGCGCCACCGCCUCCAGGAGCGGCUCUGCGGGGGGCCACGGUGUUACCCCCCCCACCGGGAUGCGAUGCCGCGGAGGGAUCCCCUUCCUUCCCUGCGCCCCGUCACCUACCCGGGACGCCGCAGGUGACAUUGCUGGGCACCCCCAGCCCCGCGCCGUUGAAAGCUGCCACCUGGAUGCAGUACGUGGCCCCGGGGCCCGGCGGGAGGGUUUCCAAGCGGUGGGUGCCUCCAUCGACUGUCCUGGUGGGGUGGUGAGAGCCGUUGCCCAGGGACCAGACCUGCCGGGCACGGAGAGGCAACUGGCACUCGCCCUUGCUCCUGUCCCGCGCCGUGCACGGGUGUCCCCUUGGAUGGGCACCCUGUCCUUGGAUGGAUCCUUUUGGAUGGCCCCGUGGGUGGGUCCCUUUGGGUAGACCCUCCUUGGGUGGAUCAUCUYGGAUGGAUCCCCUGGGAUGGACAUCCACCUUGUGUGGACCCUUGCAUGGACCCCCUUGGCUGGCCCCRCCUCGGAUGGAUCCUUUGGUCGGAUUCCACACGGAUAGGCUCCUUCAGUGGAUCCCUCUUGGACAGACCCUCCCUUG